CCGAGAUAGGGGUACAAGUCCUGCAGAAUUGCGUUCCUCUGGACUAAGCGAAGACCUGAUAAGGGUAGCGACGAAGCUCGGCGUGGUAAGGGGAGAGUGCCAGACGUGGUGUCUCCUACCACG
rnacentral:ncRNA from 1 species